rnacentral:rRNA from 1 species
UACGUAGGGGGCAAGCGUUGUCCGGAUUUAUUGGGCGUAAAGAGCGUGUAGGCGGCUUGGUAGGUCCGCUGUGAAAACUCGAGGCUCAACCUCGAGAUGUCGGCGGAAACCACUUGGCUAGAGUCCGGAAGAGGAGAGUGGAAUUCCCCGGUGUAGCGGUGAAAUGCGCAGAUAUCGGGAAGAACACCUAUGGCGAAGGCAGCUCUCUGGGACGGUACUGACGCUGAGGUGCGAAAGCGUGGGGAGCAAACAGG